GACGAACGCUGGCGGCGUGCUUAACACAUGCAAGUCGAACGGAAAGGCCCUGCUUUUGUGGUGUUCUCGAGUGUCGAACGGGUGAGUAACACGUGUGUAUCCUGCCCUUGACUUUGGGAUAACUUCUGGAAACUGGGGCUAAUACCGCAUAUGAGCUCCUGCUGCAUGGUGUUUGUUGGAAAGUUUCGGCGGUUGGGGCUGGACGCGCGGCUUAUCAGCUUGUUGGUGGGGUAGUGUCUUACCAAGGCUUUGACGGGUAGCCGGCCUGAGCGGGUGAACGGCGACAUUGGGACUGAGAGACGGCCCAGAAUCCUACGGGAGGCAGUAGUGGGGAAUAUUACACAAUGGGCGGAAGCGUGAUGCAGCAACGCCGCGUGCGGGAUGACGGCCUUCGGGUUGUAAACCGCUGUCGCCUGUGACGAAGCGUGAGUGACGGUAAUGGGUAAAGAAGCACCGGCUAACUACGUG
rnacentral:rRNA from 1 species